rnacentral:tRNA from 1 species
GCACCUAUGGCGGAAUUGGUAGACGUGCUACCUUGAGGGGGUAGUGUCCUAUGGACGUGCUGGUUCGAAUCCAGUUAGGUGUAC